rnacentral:rRNA from 1 species
AUUGAACGCUGGCGGCAGGCCUAACACAUGCAAGUCGAACGCGUGGCGUACGGGUGAGUUAUGUCUGGGAAACUGCCUGAUGGAGAGGGCUAACUACCGGACACGGUAGCUCCUACCGCAUACCAUACGAUGUGCCCAGAUGGGAUUAGCUAGUUGGUGGGGUAACGGCUCACCAGGGCGACGAUCCAUAGCUGGUCUGAGAGGAUGACCAGUCACACUGGAACUGAGACACGGUCCAGACUCCUACGGGAGGCAGCAGUGGGGAAGAUUGGACAAUGGGCGAAAGCCUGAUGCAGCCAUGCCGCGUGUAUGAAGAAGGCCUUCGGAUUGUAAAGCACUUUCAGCUGGGAGGCGUUACCCGCAGAAGAAGCACCGGCUAACUCCGUGCCAGCAGCCGCGGUAAUUC